UACGGCUACAUCACGCUUAAACACCCGUUCCCUUACAAUUGCCGACGUUAAGCAGCGUCGAGCCUGGUCAGUACCUAAAUGGGUGACCGCUUGGGAAUAUCUGAUGCUGUAAG